GGAUGCGUGGCUUAGUGCAAAGAGCACGGGCUUGAGAGUUAGAGGUCGUGGGUUCUAAUCCCACCUCUGCCA
rfam:Ornithorhynchus anatinus chromosome 18, whole genome shotgun sequence.